UACGUAUGGUGCAAGCGUUAUCCGGAAUGACUGGGUGUAAAGGGAGCGUAGACGGUUGUUCAAGUCUGAUGUGAAAGCCCUCGGCUUAACUGGGGGAGUGCAUUGGAAACUGAAGGACUAGAGUAUCGGAGAGGCAAGUGGAAUUCCUAGUGUAGCGGUGAAAUGCGUAGAUAUUAGGAGGAACACCAGUGGCGAAGGCGGCCUGCUGGACGGUGACUGACGCUGAGGCUCGAAAGCGUGGGGAGCAAACAGG
rnacentral:rRNA from 1 species